AGAGAGGAGGGGAGAGAGCCAGAAAAGGAGGAAGCGACCCACUGUAAUUCACAUGGGAUGGAUUCUUUUCACCACACCACUUCCUGUCAGCCCUACCCACUUCCUGUCAGCCCUACCCACAAUUCCCUUGGACAGACUGUCCGUCCUGUGAUCAUGACCCCAGAUAAAGGUUUCCUGGAACUUGUAGAGCGGCUUCCUCCUUCCCAGGAGCCUCAGGGGGGAUGGACACCAACAGGAACAGGUUCAACGCUGUAGGGUGGAGAGCCUCCAGGUCCUAGUGCCUGCCUGCUAGCCCUCUGAGAUUCCCUGUUUCCCAUCCUGGCAGAGUGGGUGUCAGAGUGGUUAAACUCACCCCUUAGUAUGAAUAACACCUUGGUGUCUUGUUAGUGGUGUGGCUGGUUGAAGAUGUGUUUCAGAGACAUGUCUGUUCAUUACCCAUGAGCCUCUGCUUCUUCUGCUGAGGUAAACACUUCCUGAACUCCAACAUGGGUCCAGCUGUGGAUAACUGGAUGUAGGACGGAGGAUGGUGACAUUAGCUACGUUUGGCUUCUACGUGGAUUCACGUCUGCAUUGUCGGUUGUCACUUUUUCACAGUGGUAGAACUUCACGUUAGGUUAAAAAUAUUUUUUAUGAUGAAAUGUGCGAUAACUUGGUUUUCCGACUGUUUGUAUAGUUAGUGUGUUAUGAGGAGCGAAAGUUACCCGCUGUUAGCUUCGAGCUAAUUCAAGGUUCCGUUGCUACGGGUGAUGAGUUACCGCUGGUCCCGUGAAAUCUGAACUUCCGCAUUGUCAUGACGUCGUUGUCAUGACAUCAUCGUCUCAACCUUGACAUGUUCCCCCCAGGUGUGGACCAGGACAUAUCAACAACACAUUUCCACUCACAUUCGUGGAAACAAGCCAAAUACAAAGAAACAGUGAGGUGAUGUUGGUGAUGUAAGACCUGCACUGAGGAUAGAUUCACCUGGAGCAGAAACUGUCUGUUACACAAACCGCCCGAGAAAGUAUCUAGAUGGGUUUUCCUUUCAUUACCCAUUUAGUCAUUUAGCAGACGAUCCAGAGCGACUUACAGCGACUUACCCGAUGUGCUUGUGUGUGUGUGACUACCCUCUAGGUGUGGUGUAUUAACUCUGAGUGUGUGUGAGAUGGCUGCUGCAGUGGUGGGGGCUGGGGGCCUGAGGGCUAGAUUAGAGGGGUUUAGUGCUAGUGGUGAAGGUGUUGUCCGUGAGAUCUUCUGCUGUUCUCUGGAGAGGUCAGGUGAUCCCUGAUAUGUUUGGCUGUUCUAGGGGUGAGGUACAUCUCUCUCUCUAGGGGUGAGGUACAUCUCUCUCUCUCUCUCUAGGGGUGAGGUAGAUCUCUCUCUUUAGGGGUGAGGUAUUGGGUGAGGUACAGCUCUCUCUAGGGGUGAGGUAGUGGGUGAGGUACAGCUCUCUCUAGGGGUGAGGUAGUGGGUGAGGUACAGCUCUCUCUCUAGGGGUGAGGUAGUGGGUGAGGUACAGCUCUCUCUCUAGGGGUGAGGUAUUGGGUGAGGUACAUCUCUCUCGAGGGGUGAGGUACAUCUCUCUCUCUAGGGGUGAGGUAUUGGGUGAGGUACAUUUCUCUCUCUAGGGGUGAGGUAUUGGGUGAGGUACAUCUCUCCAGCCCCUCACCAGACACCACGGCCAGGGUGACCAGGGACCUUCUCUAUAGUAACCCCACAUGUGCCAAUUCAAACCGUAUUUUUGAAGAUAAUUUAUUCCUCAGCCCCUGUUAA